rnacentral:lncRNA from 1 species
GUCGAAGCAAAUGCUAAAAAUAAUUCAGAGGUAUCUAACAGAUGCAAAUAACAAAGAGAAACUUCAGACAAAGUAAAAGAACAAUAUUCAUGGGAUUAUUCCAACAAUACUUAUUAGAGUAAUUAGUUAUAAGGUAUAUUACUUGACAAGUUGGCCCCAUCAAUCUUCCAUGAAGUCUCUUUUUUUGUCUCUGAGCUCUCUUCUUUGGCCUUCUAUUUUCGCGAGGCACGUUGGCAUCAAAAAGUUCCACAACCCAUUUUGGUUUACGGUAUUUAAACAUGAGACUCCAAAUGACAGUUCCAACAACUAGUCCAAAACUGUAGCCUAAGACUACAGAUUCCCACGUAAAUCCAUUUAAGGAAUAUGACUCAUCUUCAUCUUCUUCGUACUCUAAUGGUUGAGGAACAUGUGUAACGAACCCAAAUCCUCACUAUAUUAAUAAGAGCACUGGAACACUAUUACAACCUUAAGAUUCUAAUUGCAAUAAUCAAACUACCGAAUUUCAAUGGAAAUAUUGAAAUAACGCAAAUUAAAGAUAGAGAGAAAAAUGGAGAUGAGAAGCUUAGACUCUAGAAGAAGAGGAGAGGACAAACAUUUUCUCCAAUAUGCAUAAUUCCUGAAUCACAU